AAAAAGCUGCGAAGCUUUGUGCGCGGAACUGUCCAGGAGAUUACGGUCAACGUCUUGGACUCAAAUCGCAGAUACAUUAGAAGAUGUUCCGAGAUCAUUGGAUAAGUUUUGGGGCAUUAUAAGCGAACAGAGGAUUGCGGAUUUGAUUAGAUUGGAUUUCCACGAAGCGGUGACGAUCCUCCUGACCAAGACCGGUAGCUACAGUAGGCCGGUGCGCCGUGCUGCCAACGUCGCUCUGGACGACAUCGUGUCAGGCGUGGAGUUCAGUCAUGCCAUCACAGCACUCUGCAUACAUGGAGCUAGCCAUAAGAGUCCUCUAGUCCGGUGUGCAUCAGCCCGACUGCUGGUAGUGUCUUGUGCACUCGCUGGCGGUGGGAGGGAACUGCUGAGGG